GGUAUGUGCUGUUGGUUAAAUUCACGAAUUCUUCAAUAUGCAUUGUUAUUUGCUUUCCUUCUCGCAACUCUUACUCAUCUUGCUACGCCAAGAAGUUUAAUUGGUAGAAGGGGACUAUCAAAUCAAGGGAAAAUUUUGGAAUAGAUAUUAUUAUAAAUUGAACGUGCUUCAUAUCAUGCAUUCUUUGGAUGAAUUGUUAUAAAAUGAAAAAUCUGGUGAAUUUCGAAUUAUAAUCUAUCACUACCAUUUGUUGAAACAACCCUGGUGGGGUGAUGGUACAAGG
rnacentral:misc_RNA from 1 species